CGGCAAGAUUCCUAGUUCUAAGACCCUAAGACGGUAAAAACCUAAUUGAGUCGCAGCUCGAAUAACAAAAACGGAAGAUUGCCUAAAAUCGCUCUAAGUGCUAAGUUUUCUCUGUCCCCCGUCCUCCUCCUGCCUCUCGCCUAGGACUCCAUAUAUACUCGCUCCUAGAUCGGUUUACGCUUUUCCUCUUCUGCCCGUAAGCCGUCAUAGCUUUAAAAUGGAGUUAUUCUGUUUUCUUGAUCUUCGGAAUUAUCUUCGAAAACUUCAUAUUAAUCCGCGGAAACUUGACAUUUAUCUUUCCUUGCGAACCAAGCAUAAAC
rnacentral:lncRNA from 1 species